rnacentral:lncRNA from 1 species
CACACGUUCUCGCUUCCUUGUUCGAAAGAAAAAACAAACCAUACUUCCCCAAUUCACAUUCACACACACUAUAAACACGCACAAAAAGCGCAGUGUAUGGUUCUUACACAACGUUCACUCCUUUCGCAAUUCUGAGAAAUUCCGUGAAAUUUUGUUUCAAUGGCUGAAAAGCUGCAGGAGCAGCUGAAAGAGCUCGGAUCGAAGCUCGAGAGCCCUCCUGAUUCGAAAGACGUUCUUAUGAAGCUCUUGAAGGUG